AUGAACGUGUACAUCCAGACCAGGGGUCUGACAUUGUGGUCACGGAAAAUUGCUCAAACUGUCAGAGAGGAAAUGACCCGUUUUCAGGUGCUGUGGACUCUUCUUCUCUAUUCCUCUGCUGACACCCAGCCCAAGCCCUCAUCACCGCAAGCCUGA
rnacentral:lncRNA from 1 species